rnacentral:lncRNA from 1 species
AUCCCAUAUUCUUUUUUACCUUCAGCAAUAAUAUAGUACUUUCUUUGAUUUUGUGACAAAAACUGUACAAUAUUAUUGUUAACUGUAGUCUAUAAGUUCCAUUAAUUAUAUUUUCCCCAUGUCAUUUAAUAACGGUUUAUUGAACACUUACAAUCUGCCUGGCACUGUUUUAGGCCCUGAGAGCCCAUUUGUAGAGGAAACUGACAUUAAUCCUGCCCUCAUGGGGCUUGCCUUCUAAUGGAGGGGAGGUAACAGAUAAUAAAACAAAUAAAAUACACAGGAUGUUAGAUGGUGAUAAGCACAAUGGAGAAAAAGCAAGAAAGAGGACUGGAGCGCACGAGGUGGGGGGUUGUGAUUUUAAAUAAAUUAAGAAGGCCUCCCUGAGAUUGUGACACCUGUGGAAAGAUUCCAAGUAGGGGAGGGAGCUAGUCUUGUGGAAUCUGGGGAAAGCAGGUGCAAAGGUCCUGAGGCAAAAGCGAAUCUGGUGUGUGCCAGGAACAGUAAGAAGCUAGCGUGGCUGCCGAGAACGUGACAGGAGCAGGGAGCCAGCCUGUGUAGGACCUCGUGGGAUAUGGGGGGGUUGGAGCAGAGGGCUUACAUGCCCCCCCCAUGGGUUUGAGUGGCUCCUCUGGCUGCCGUGUUGAACAGACCGUACAUGGGCAAGGGGAGAAGCGGGGAGCCCUGUCAGGAGGCCGCUGCGGGGAUCCAGGGGAGAGAGGGCCCGGAGGGGACACCGUGGAGGGGUGAGAAGUACGUGGGGUUCUGGAUUAUUCUGAAGGCAGAGUCAAAGGGCUCUGCAGACCACAGGUGGUGUGCAGGGUGUGAGAAAGGUGACAAGAACAACAGAAGGUGUUGGCUUGGGCAACUGGAGUGCUGGAGCGGCCCUUUGUGAAGCCCUGAGGAAGGGUGGGGGUGGAGGUUUUGGUUGGGUUUGGAGCAGGCCGUGUGCGAUGUCCCCCGGACAUCCGAGCAGAGCCACUGAGAGGUGCUGGCCCAGAAAGGUUAGCUCCUCCCCUCUUCUCUCGAGCUCCUGUUCAAACACAGAGCUAGACCAGGAAAGAGGCUUCAGAAACUUCCCAGCAGGCCUCGCUCACAGACCUCCUCUUGGCACUUCAUGCUCUGAGACCCCAGGGUGGACCAGGGGAGGGGGCAGGCCUGGCAGAGGCCUGAGCUGCCGGAUGAGAGGGAAGGGCCAGCCACCAAAAGGAGGAUGGACGGACGCAACUCGGCAAGCCCAGGCGGGCGGGCCCAGCCACCACCCUCAGAGGACCUGGCUCUGCCCUCAGCCCCGUCCUACAGGGAGGAGGGCCCGCGGGGCAGGCUGGGCCAGCCCCAAGGGGCAGCCUGGAGGAUGGAGGCCAGAGGCUCAGCGUACUGUCCCCGACCCCCGGGACAACCUCCGCCAGGUCCCGGGCCUAACCCCUGCCCUGGGGCACCCUGCCCUGGAGAUCACAGAGGCAGAGAAGGGGGCUUGGCAGAGCGGCCAGGGGACCCGAGAAGAGCUUCCAGGAGAGGAGACGGAGGCUCAUGGGUCUUUGAAAGCGCCAGUGGCCCUCCGCCGGGACAACCUGUUCAGAACCACAGGAUCGUCACCUCUGACCCAUUUCUGGCCUGGCACACAGCAGGCACGUCUGUCGGGUUCACGAGCACGUGUGGAGCACCUACUGGCUUCCAGGCGCAAGCUAGGUGCUGCCCCCAUGUCCCUGCUUUGGUUUUGUUUUCCUUACUUUCAACGUCAGUCUCUCUGGGCCCAGGGACAGGGGCUGACAGACAGAACCCCCAGCUGCCCACCUUCUGAAGCCGAGGGGGUCCGGGCCCAGCCACAGAGGUUGACGCCUGCCAGGACCCUGGUGACACCCUCUGUCUCCCUCUCUCCCCCCGUCCUCCCCGGAUCCCUCGGUCACUCAGCCGUUCUGGAACUUUGGGCGAGCUUCAAAAGAACUGGAGACCAAGGCUGAGCAGGUUUGCAGACGUCAUGAGCUGAGGCUUCAGACUCACGCCCUCCUCCCGGGGUAACUUGCCUGCAGGGAGCCGGGCCGAUAGCAUCUCUUCCUUCACCCUCUAACUGACCCCGCUUGGCGUAGUGGGAGGCUGUCCUUUUCCAGCCUGUGACAAACCUCAGGGGAAGCCAGUCACCCCUUGGCUGCCUGGUUCCGCUGUCAGGCCGAAGCAGCAGCAGAAGCAAAAGCCCUGGAGCCUCAUCCUUGACCUCUCCCUGCCCCAGCUCUGGCCUGGACGGGAGGGGCUGUGAGCCCCAGGCAGCCAGACCCGAGUGGGACACGACAGGCCUGCAGUCAGCCCCCGUGAGCAGAUGCCCUGGACAGCGGCGGAGCUGGAGAGGCCUCGCACAGCCUCUGCCAGGAAUGCAGGCGGGGAAGGCCUUCGGGGCCAGCUGGGCAAACCUGCACGAUGCCUGGUCAGGAGGCAAAGAGCCCGGGGCCCAGGGUUGCCUGCGCUCUGGACAAAUGCACCAGUGGUCUCUGCAGCACCCUACUCUAACCACUCUAACCACAAACACCCCACAGUGAGGGCCACGUGCCGCCCAGCCCUGGGCUCUAAAGUUCUCUGACAUUCGGUGUCAAGGAAGAAGUCCCAGCUCUCCACGUGCUAGAACUGUGACCUGGGAAGACACCCCAUGCCUCAGUUUCCUUGCCUGCUAAAUGGGGAUAAAACCUAACCUCCAA